rnacentral:rRNA from 1 species
UACGUAGGGUGCGAGCGUUGUCCGGAAUUACUGGGCGUAAAGAGCUCGUAGGUGGUUUGUCGCGUUGUCCGUGAAAACUCACAACUCAAUUGUGGGCGUGCGGCGAUACGGGCAGACUGGAGUACUGCAGGGGAGACUGGAAUUCCUGGUGUAGCGGUGGAAUGCGCAGAUAUCAGGAGGAACACCGGUGGCGAAGGCGGUCUCUGGCAGUGAACUGACGCUGAGGAGCGAAAGCGUGGGAGCGAACAGG